rnacentral:rRNA from 1 species
UUCUUCGAGAGUUUGAUCCUGGCUCAGAACGAACGCUGGCGGCGUGCUUAAUACAUGCAAGUCGUACGAGAAAGUCCCUUCGGGGAUGAGUAAAGUGGCGCACGGGUGAGUAACACGUAGGUAACCUACCUCAGGGACC